rnacentral:misc_RNA from 1 species
GAUGAAGAACGUAGUGAAAUGCGAUACGUAAUGUGAAUUGCAAAUUCAGUGAAUCAUCGAGUCUUUGAACGCACAUUGCGCCCCCUGGUAUUCCGGGGGGCAUGCCUGUCAGAGCGUCAUUGCUGCCCUCAAGCACGGCUUGUGUGUUGGGCCCCGUCCUCCGAUCCCGGGGGACGGGCCCGAAAGGCAGCGGCGGCACCGCGUCCGGUCCUCGAGCGUAUGGGGCUUUGUCACCCGCUCUGUAGGCCCGGCCGGCGCUUGCCGAUCAACCCAAAUUUUUAUCCAGGUUGACCUCGGAUCAGGUAGGGAUACCCGCUGAACUUAAGCAUAUCAAUAAGCGGAGGA